AACUGUGGGAUUUGAACCGGCAACCUUCCGGCCACAGGCGCAGAUCCUGAGCCACAGAGCCACUGCUCUGCCCCUUUUACAGUGGAACAUGCGUAUUUAACUCCUCUUCACAGCGUGCUGCUUCAGAAACUAGUAGGUCAAAAUCAGCAACUCCGUUUCCAGUUUGUCUAGGGGAAUGGUGUCCUGUAUCGAUGAGGGAAAUUCUGGAAACGGAUGACGGGCCGGCUGCCCUGGCUCGUUCUGAAUCUUGCCUGUUUGGGCAGAGAACUUACACCAGACAGAAGGACAACACCUAAUCCGCACAGCUACAUGUGGUCUUUGGCUGCACAGGAAAUGCAGGAAGCAGAAGACAGACCACCCCGCUCACAGAGUGUGGAGGGUUCGGACCGCGCAGAACGCACAGCACCUGGAUCUCCUGCAGGUGAAGAGCUGGGGGACACCAGGCCCGAGGACAACGGGACCUGUCACUGCCACUGUUUGCUGUGGAGUGGCUGCUGGGUUUGAUGUUGCAGCUCGAGGACAACAAGGAGGGGUGACAAUCGCUGGUUGCCAGGAACCAGGCACUUCCGAGUGCACUGUCAGAGCACAACGCUCGCACCCGUGUCGAAGAUGGGACUGGGCCGUACGAAGCAUUCCCUGCCCGCCUCCAGAUAUGCCCAGAUAUUUCCCGAUCAGCACUUGUGAUCACUGGUCCCCAGGACAGUGCACUCGUAAGCCCGCUCAUAUACUGGUGUGUAAUUUAACCAGAAACCCAUUCAGAUGAAUCUCACUUUUGCAAGGGAGACCUCUGAGCGGAGAUGGGCUGGAAAACCCCAGUCACGGAUGGGGAAUCUCGAUAGUCCAGCUGUUUUAACAUGGUUUUGGAGUUGGUGGUUUCCAGUGAAGUUGGGAGCUUCGGCUGUAUACGUGAAUGACUGUGUUUUCCACAGCUCACAGCUUCUGGGCAUCGCCGUGAACUUGUGGUCCAGAGGGAGUCGUGCUGCCAUUCCUCCCAGUCCAGCAGGACAACUGGACAGCACACCUGGCUGCUUCAACCACAGCGAUGCCAGGACUCUUAUUAUUAUCACUGCAUGAAAUCUAAACUACUGGAGGCAAGGAUCUCCAGAUACCUGCAACACUUUAUUUUAAGUAUAUAAACAUUGAUUUCUCAUCACACUCACAAAACACUAACCCUGGUCGUUUUGUUUCUUAUGGUAAUGAUGCUGUUGCUCUGGCAACGUUCUUAAUUAUUGUGACGGCCCGUUUAAGGAACUCAUCUCACCAGCUAAAACCACCGCUGGCAAGCAGGGCGUGAGGCUGGCUGGCUCUGGUGGCCAGCAGUAUCGAUCGCUGCACAGCUGCUGAGAUAUUACCACUUCCUUUAUCCUCAGUUCACAUCGCAGGGACCGCCAGACAGCAGCUAGCCCAUUACUGAGGUUUCCACAUUCAGACUUUCCAAGUCAAUAAUCUGUGUCGCACAGUUCAUAGCUCCGUUAUUGGCACACAUGGGGACCUCAGUAGCUCCAGACACAAGUGCCAUCUAUUUAAAUCUAAAAAUCUAUAUACAGCACUGUAUAAAGCCUGGCUCACACAGUUAGUCUGCUGUUUAUCAUGAUUAAAUACUGUACUAUGCAUGUGCACCCCAUUAAGUUUGGGAACUCCUUUAACUAAUUAAUCAAAUGACAAGUGCAGGGUUCUCGUAAUGUAUCAAGAGGGUGGUCAUCAACUGGACAUGACAUAAAGUUUUAGCGUGUCCAGCUGCCCGUUUGACACGUUUCAUUUGUCAAGUGUCUUGCAGAGAAGGUGCACAAACAUUUGACCAUGGAAGCAGAAGGUUUUCAAAGCACAACCCAGAUAAAAUCGAAACUUUGAUCUACCCACGUGUCUCAGAUUCCACAGCCAGAACUGAGCAGCAGCUGUCCGUUGGGAAAAUGAGGUGAACAGACAGCAGAAACACAGCAGACAAGACUCGCUGCCAGGAGAAGGACACGAGACCUGGAAUUUAAAGGUGGAGCCCAGCUCUUGCUUUUCCAUUGAUUUGUCCCUAAAUGAAAUAACUGCACUUUUCCCGAAUGUGAUUUCCUUUCUCCACCCGGAACAAAGUUGUGGUGAAGAGCCUGAUGCGUGCUGUGGCAGUGUUGACCACAUUUCGGUUUGUCAUCCCAGCACCUCUGUUAUUUCAGUGCCCUUUAUUUGAGGGGAAACUAUUUUAAGCAUGACAGCACAUCACAGAACAAUCUUGACCCCCGUGAAACAAAACACAAAAACCCUGCAUUAAUGAGCGCGCAGAAAGAACUGAAGAAAUGUGAGAAAAUAUGAAGCACACAACGGAGCACACUCAAACAUUCAUCCCUGUUAGCAGCUCCGCUUUGAACUGGAGCUGAUGUUUGUGCCAUUAGAUAUGGAAAGCCAGAUAAUUCCAAUGUUUCAAUGGCUCCCAACCCUGGGCCUGGAACUCAGGUUCACUGAUUUCAGUUUUCUCUUUAGUGUGUAUCUGUAAAUGUCAAGUGGGAUUUGUAGUUGUACCAGGCCUGCCUUCAUGCACUGCUGUUGCCUGAAAUGUUAACAGAUUAGACCACAGAGGAAAAUAACGCUCGUUAUGGGAAGUGAUGUGGUGUCAUUGCCACCUGUGUCUGUUCAUUAGCAAUUGAUCAAGCACGUUGAAAGUUGAGGAGACAGUGCUUAAACUUUUGUACAAUGAAGGUGCUGGGAGCCGUACACUGGCAUAUUGUUGGCACUCAGGACUGAGCACAGAAACAAGUUAAAUUCAAUUUUAUACAAGCAAGUGGAUCAGAUUCAGUCACCUAUCGGCACUGGAGAUGAUGCAGAGCCAGUAGACACAGCAGUCCUCCAGGACCAGGCCACAGGUGGAGACACAGAGACUACAAUCACAACCUAUCAGGAGCUGGCGCCCGAGUGUGGCUUGUGAACCGGAACGGGCGCUUCUGUCCUGGCGCUGCCAACUGGAAAAGCUGUCCUGCACACCUCUGCGGGUCACUGCUGCGGCGCCCCGGCCUCCUCUCCUCUCCGUGUGCAGCUGUUAUCUACCCAGAUGCCCCCUCGGCAAACCAGAACACAUGCCUCCGCGGCGUCUCUCCUGGACCGGCAUGAAAGAGCUGAGUUGCAGCAUGUCUGGGCCCCCCGGCCCCCCGGCCCCCCGGCUGGGACGAGACGGCCCCGCUGCCAGCCGGACAUCGGAGCCGCGGAAUGUUGUGGGCUGGCCGGCUGCCUGCUCGCGGGGAGCAGGGACCCCAGCCGGCACGGAACAGAGGGGGUGCGCGGACCUGGGGGGGGGGUCUCAGUCUGCCAGCCCCCACACCCCCCCUGCCAGGAGUAGGGGGUAGAACUCGCGAUCGCGCGGCUUCUGUUCUGCACCGUCUCGGGAAAAGCGCGCGGAAAAAUAAAAGCCCCGCUCGUGUCCCGAUCAAACGCACGCAUGAGGGGAGACGUCAUUUCUAAUCUUUUUUUUUCAUUUUUAUUCAAUUAUGAUGCCUCGGAUAUUUUCAUUUUCAAGCUCUGUUAAAGUGACACAAUUCGAAGAAAUACCGUUGGUGACAGAUAUUCUUACCUCGGCCUUGGGAUUUCCACAGACGAGGACAGUUAAUGCAGAUUCGCUUUGUCUUCUCACAGAAUUGUUAAACAUCUGAGAGAGCAUCGUUUUAAAGCCAAAACACCAACACAUCAUUUAGAUGACAUAUUAGCAAAAUCCAGCAUUUCAUUGAUUCUGUGGGAGACAUGCCAAUGUAAAGGAGUCUCAAUAUACACUGAAUUCCAAAGGAAGUCCAGCAUCCAUAGUCAGAAAGCCAUUUAUACUUGGUAAUUAGUGGCAGAAUCCCAUAGAAACAUGCAGACUGCACACAGACAGGUGCCACAGUGCAGAGCCGAAUCCAGGACACAAAGGCUGUGAGACAUCCACACUAACUGGAAUGAUAUUCCACACAUUAAUAAAAUAAACAGCUGGCGGUAAAGCCUUUAGUUAUAGGGGCCCCAUUUAUUCAUUCCUUUUUAUAAUUGUAUAAUGUUAGCAUGCCCAGAGUGGUUGGGCAGCCAGUUGACCUUGGACCCCUAGAGGUUUUGUUCUCCUUGCUAAGGAGUUUUUGGUGCCUUUCCACUGUUGUCCUUGGGUCUUUUCUGUUCUGUAUUCACAACAUGUCUGGUCACUUGCUUUGUUAAGCGCCUUGGGGCAACCCUGUUG